GACGAACGCUGGCGGCGUGCCUAAUACAUGCAAGUUGAGCGCUGAAGGUUGGUACUUGUACCAACUGGAUGAGCAGCGAACGGGUGAGUAACGCGUGGGGAAUCUGCCUUUGAGCGGGGGACAACAUUUGGAAACGAAUGCUAAUACCGCAUAAAAACUUUAAACACAAGUUUUAAGUUUGAAAGAUGCAAUUGCAUCACUCAAAGAUGAUCCCGCGUUGUAUUAGCUAGUUGGUGAGGUAAAGGCUCACCAAGGCGAUGAUACAUAGCCGACCUGAGAGGGUGAGCGGCCACAUUGGGACUGAGACACGGCCCAAACUCCUACGGGAGGCAGCAGUAGGGAAUCUUCGGCAAUGGACGAAAGUCUGACCGAGCAACGCCGAGUGAGUGAAGAAGGUUGUCGGAUCGUAAAACUCUGUUGGUAGAGAAGAACGUUGGUGAGAGUGGAAAGCUCAUCAAGUGACGGUAACUACCCAGAAAGGGACGGCUAACUACGUG
rnacentral:rRNA from 1 species